CCUACGGGAGGCAGCAGUGGGGAAUAUUGCACAAUGGGGGAAACCCUGAUGCAGCGACGUCGCGUGAGCGAUGAAGUCUCUCGGUAUGUAAAGCUUUAUCAGUAGGGAAGAAAAUGACGGUACCUGACUAAGAAGCCCCGGCUAACUACGUGCCAGCAGCCGCGGUUAUGUGUAGGGGGCCAGCGUUAUCCGGAUUUACUGGGCGUAAAGGGGGCGUAGACGGGGAUGCAAGGUAGAUGGGAAAGCCCGGGGCCCAACCCCGGGACUGCCUUUGAAACUGUAUAGCUUGAGUGUGAGAGAGGCAGGCGGAAUUCGUGGUGUAGCGGUGAAAUGCGUAGAUAUUAGGAGGAACACCGGUGGCGAAGGCGGCCUGCUGGACGAUGACUGACGUUGAGGCUCGAAAGCGUGGGGAGCAAACAGGAUUAGAUACCCCAGUAGUC
rnacentral:rRNA from 1 species